rnacentral:rRNA from 1 species
UGCAGUCGAGUGCGCGGUUGUAGCAAUACAACUGGCGCACGGCGCACGGGUGCGUAACACGUGGGUACCUGCCCUUUGGUGGGGAAUAACUCCGCGAAAGCGGAGCUAAUUCCGCAUAAGAUCCGCAAGGAUGAAAGCCGCAAGGCGCCGAUGGAGGGGCCCGCGCCCGAUUAGCUAGUUGGUGAGGUAAUGGCUCACCAAGGCUUUGAUCGGUAGCUGGUCUGAGAGGAUGAUCAGCCACACUGGAACUGAGACACGGUCCAGACUCCUACGGGAGGCAGCAGUGGGGAAUCUUGCACAAUGGGCGAAAGCCUGAUGCAGCGACGCCGCGUGGGGGAUGAAGCAUCUCGGUGUGUAAACCCCUUUCGAUCCGGAAGAAACCCCGCAAGGGAUUGACUGUACGGAUAUAAGAAGCCCCGGCUAACUACGUGCCAGCAGCCGCGGUAAGACGUAGGGGGCCAGCGUUGUUCGGAAUUACUGGGUGUAAAGGGUUCGUAGGCGGUGUAGCAAGUCGGGAGUGAAAUCUCUGGGCUUAACCCAGAGGCUGCUUCCGAAACUGCUGUGCUUGAGUGUGGGAGAGGCGCGUGGAAUUGCAGGUGUAGCGGUGAAAUGCGUAGAUAUCUGCAGGAACACCCGUGGCGAAAGCGGCGCGCUGGACCACUACUGACGCUGAGGAACGAAAGCUAGGGGAGCAAACAGGAUUAGAUACCCUGGUAGUCCUAGCCCUAAACGAUCAGGACUUGGGGUGCCACCCGUUCGGGUGUCGUCCCGGAGCUAACGCGUUAAGUCCUGCACCUGGGGAGUACGGUCGCAAGACUGAAACUCAAAGGAAUUGACGGGGGCCCGCACAAGCGGUGAACAUGUGGUUCAAUUCGACGCUACGCGAGGAACCUUACCUGGGCUCGAAAUGCUGGUGACCAGCUGUA